CAGGCCCAGCCUUUCUCAUUCUUGAAAGGGUUUUAGGAUAAAACUUUGAGACUGUUAUGUUUAAUAUGCCCACUUGAAAAAAAUAUUAAAAGUAGCAUCUCAGUGACUUUUGGUCACAGACCUCUUGCCUUUUUUUGAAUCCCAUUAUCCAUUACUGAUAUGUAUAUGACCUUAAAUUCUGAAAUCAGGUCCAAGAAACAGAUAUUUUCAAGAAAAAGAAGAGGAGAGGACAGGAAGACAGGAAAUCCAAAAAGAAGAAGUCCGCUCCCAGUAUUUUGUCAAGUGGACGGAUUGGACAGGUUGGAAAAUUCAAAAAUGGAACAUUGAUUCUGAGCCCAGUUGAUAUCAAGAAAAUAAAUUCUUCCAGAGUGGCCAGAUGAAGUACUCUAUCAGAUACAACAAGGAAGGGGAACAGGCCAAGUCAGCUGCAGUGACACUGGACCCUGUGAGACCCUAGACAGACCGUUCUUACCACACGCUUCACAGACCGCUUUGUUUCGAAGGAAAGAAAGUCAAACAGAAGUAACAUUUCCAGUUGCUGAAAGGUCUGCUUCAUGGUGCUGAACGUAUCAGGCCAAGUGCAGCAUGAAUGUGAAGUGAACCUACUGAACAGUGUCUUUUAAUGUUCUCCAGCAAGCUUUGCUCCUAUUUCACGUUCACUGGCAUUUGGUGCAUUUGCUUGUCAUACAAUUUUUUUUACAACUUUACUGUUUCGUAAAUGCUAGUAGUUUACCUUAAAUUGCCUUAUAAUAUUUUUAAUGAUUUCAUGUUACAAUAUCAUGAAAGAACCAAGCAUAGGGUAAUUUAUCAGUUUUGUGGAAAAGCAGUUUUAAUUUUUAGCCUACCAUGUAUACAAAGUGUAGUUCGUAAGAAGUGAUAUAAAUAAAAUACAACUUUUGUAGCAU